rnacentral:rRNA from 1 species
UGGCGGACGGGUGAGUAACGUCUGGGAAACUGCCCGAUGGAGGGGGAUAACUACUGGAAACGGUAGCUAAUACCGCAUAACGUCGCAAGACCAAAGAGGGGGACCUUAGGGCCUCUUGCCAUCGGAUGUGCCCAGAUGGGAUUAGCUAGUAGGUGGGGUAAUGGCUCACCUAGGCGACGAUCCCUAGCUGGUCCGAGAGGAUGACCAGCCACACUGGAACUGAGACACGGUCCAG